rnacentral:piRNA from 1 species
UUGAAGGCCACGAAAUCUCCCUAAGCCUGU